AUGGAUAGUGCGGAAGAUCGACCCUCCUUGGUUGCGGAGGAGAAGGACAAGCAGCCUGUUCCCUUUAGUGACGCUCCGUCUCCAGUGCGCGCCGUGCUCAACCGUCCGUGGCCAUCCGCCGUCGUCAUCCGGCCGGAGGAUAAUCCGUCCGGAAAGUACCGCACUCUGGUGGCUACCGCCAAGGACAUUGGGGACCUGAUCUCGCCGGAGGAGAUAGCCGCGCUGGAGGACAAGGAGGGCGACGACGCAGGCACACGGUUCUAUAAGGCAGCUGCUCGGGCCAACGUCGUUAUGAGGAAUUACAUCCAUGAACACGGCAGCCUUUACAUGGAUGAGAACGGCAAGUACAUGAUGGACAACUCCGACCAAGUUGAGGAAAUACGUUGCAAGCAUGUUACAGCAGAAGAAAUGGAAGCAAAGAUAAUGAAGCAAGAGAUGACUAAGGAGCAAACUUAUUUAUCAGAACUGGCUUUAGCGAGUUUCAACAAGAGGAGAAAGGUGAAGUUUGAGUUGUGUGAGACAUUGCUUUCUAGACUCUUUUACGAGAGCAGACGUAUUUUUACGCACGUAAAUUUCGUUGCCAUGGGCAAGGAUAAGAAAAAACUCUUUUUCGCCGAGAUAGAGGACUGCGGACAGGGUCGUGAAGAGAAUAUUGUUCCACAUGAAUGA
rnacentral:rRNA from 1 species